ACGGGACUCUUCGGAGUUCAGUGGCGGACGGGUGAGUAACGCGUGAGAAUCUGCCUAGAGGAUGGGGACAACCACGGGAAACUGUGGCUAAUACCCAAUGAGCGGAGACGUUAAAGAUUUAUCGCCUCUAGAGGAGCUCGCGUCUGAUUAGCUAGUUGGUGGGGUAAAAGCCUACCAAGGCGACGAUCAGUAGCUGGUCUGAGAGGACAACCAGCCACACUGGGACUGAGACACGGCCCAGACUCCUACGGGAGGCAGCAGUGGGGAAUUUUCCGCAAUGGGCGAAAGCCUGACGGAGCAAUACCGCGUGAGGGAGGAAGGCUCUUGGGUCGUAAACCUCUUUUCUCAGGGAAGAAGAAAGUGACGGUACCUGAGGAAUCAGCCUCGGCUAACUCCGUGCCAGCAGCCGCGGUAAUACGGAGGAGGCAAGCGUUAUCCGGAAUUAUUGGGCGUAAAGCGUCCGUAGGUGGCUCUUCAAGUCUGCUGUCAAAGAGUGGGGCUUAACUCCAGAAAGGCAGUGGAAACUGAAAGGCUAGAGAUCCGUAGGGGUAGAGGGAAUUCCCGGUGUAGCGGUGAAAUGCGUAGAGAUCGGGAAGAACAUCGGUGGCGAAAGCGCUCUACUGGACGGUAUCUGACACUGAGGGACGAAAGCUAGGGGAGCGA
rnacentral:rRNA from 1 species